AUUUGCUCGGCUCCGGCUGCGUUUCCCUGCCCGCCUCCUGCCCCCGGCCCGCCCGCUCGGAAGGGCGCGGGGAGCCGCAGCCGCGGGUGCGUCCGCCGCCCAUCACCGCGCUUCGGGGCUGGGCGCGCCGCCGAGCGCCGGGAGCCGCCUCCGGAGCAGCUUCAACUAUGAUCAGUGCAUAAAUCUACCUGCAACACAGGAUGUUGGAAAAUUACCGAGAGACAGCAACGUCCUCCCUGCUGCUUGGUGAGAAAAGAAGGAUGCACCUUCAGGUUAAACACUGGGCUUGGUGACCACCCGUGAGAUCCUGAAUGCCGUGUCCAGCGAGCCUCCCAGCCCCUGAGGACAACAACUAGGACACAUCCCGGGCUGUGGCUGGGACCUGCAGUGACACACGGGCUCAGAGGUGAGGGCUGGCAUCUCUGGGGUGAGAGGAGGAGCUGCCUGUGGGAGAGAGCCAGCAGGGAUGGAGCAGG
rnacentral:lncRNA from 1 species